UACGUAGGGUGCAAGCGUUGUCCGGAUUUAUUGGGCGUAAAGAGCUCGUAGGCGGUUUGUCGCGUCGGAUGUGAAAACCCAGGGCUCAACCCUGGGCCUGCAUUCGAUACGGGCAGACUAGAGUAUGGCAGGGGAGACUGGAAUUCCUGGUGUAGCGGUGAAAUGCGCAGAUAUCAGGAGGAGCACCGGUGGCGAAGGCGGGUCUCUGGGCCAAAACUGACGCUGAGGAGCGAAAGCGUGGGGAGCGAACAGG
rnacentral:rRNA from 1 species